GAUGAACGCUGGCGGCGUGCUUAACACAUGCAAGUCGAACGGUGAACGAGGGAGCUUGCUCCCUCCGGAUCAGUGGCGAACGGGUGAGUAACACGUGAGCAAUCUGCCCUGGACUCUGGGAUAAGCGUUGGAAACGACGUCUAAUACCGGAUACGAGACGCGAAGGCAUCUUCAGCGUCUGGACAGCACAUCGGUCCAGGAUGAGCUCGCGGCCUAGCAGGUAGUUGGUGAGGUAACGGCUACCCAAGCCUACGACGGGUAGCCGGCCUGAGAGGGUGACCGGCCACACUGGGACUGAGACACGGCCCAGACUCCUACGGGAGGCAGCAGUGGGGAAUAUUGCACAAUGGGCGCAAGCCUGAUGCAGCAACGCCGCGUGAGGGACGACGGCCUUCGGGUUGUAAACCUCUUUUAGCAGGGAAGAAGCGAAAGUGACGGUACCUGCAGAAAAAGCACCGGCUAACUACGUGCCAGCCGCCGCAGUAACAC
rnacentral:rRNA from 1 species